GAUGAACGCUGGCGGCGUGCUUAACACAUGCAAGUCGAACGGUGAAGGCGGAGCUUGCUCUGCUGGAUCAGUGGCGAACGGGUGAGUAACACGUGAGCAAUCUGCCCCUGACUCUGGGAUAAGCGCUGGAAACGGCGUCUAAUACUGGAUACGAGCUGCGAAGGCAUCUUCAGCAGCUGGAAAGAACUUCGGUCAGGGAUGAGCUCGCGGCCUAUCAGCUUGUUGGUGAGGUAACGGCUCACCAAGGCGUCGACGGGUAGCCGGCCUGGGAGGGUGACCGGCCACACUGGGACUGAGACACGGCCCAGACUCCUACGGGAGGCAGCAGUGGGGAAUAUUGCACAAUGGGCGAAAGCCUGAUGCAGCAACGCCGCGUGAGGGACGACGGCCUUCGGGUUGUAAACCUCUUUUAGCAGGGAAGAAGCGAAAGUGACGGUACCUGCAGAAAAAGCGCCGGCUAACUACGU
rnacentral:rRNA from 1 species